rnacentral:tRNA from 1 species
GGAGAGCUGCCGGAGCGGUCGAACGGGACGGUUUCGAAAACCGUUGUCUGCCCAAAAGCAGACCGAGGGUUCGAAUCCCUCGCUCUCCGCCA